AUUCAGUUGAAUUUUCUUUCAAAUCAAAUCAGAUAAGCAAUUUACCGAACUCAGUUGAAUUUUCUCUCAAAUCAAAUCAGAUAAUUUCAGCAGAAAACACAACACACAAAUCAGCAGCAGCAGCUGCCAUGGGAGACGUAAUAGUGCUGUACGCAGCUCCAGGAAUGGGGCAUGUCAUCUCCAUGGUGGAGCUGGGCAAGCUCAUCCUCCACCGCUACGGCCCCCACAAGUUUUCCAUCACCAUUCUCUACACCUGCGGCAGCUUCUUCGACACCCCUAGCAUCCCCGCCUACAUCCGCCGCAUCUCCCACUCCCACCCUUCCAUUUCCUUCCGCCAAUUCCCUCGCGUCACCAAUAAAAUUACCCAAAACAUCAGCGGCACCGCAAUCGUGGUUGACUUCGUUCGCCAGAACGAUCCCCACGUCCGCCGUGCCCUCCAAGACAUCUCCAAAUCUGCCGUCGUCCGCGCCUUCAUCAUCGACCUCGUCUGCACCUCCGUGAUGACCAUCAGCAAGGAAUUCGACAUUCCCACAUACUACUUCUACACUUCUGGUGCCGCAGCUCUGGGUGCUUUUUUGUAUUUCCCUAAGAUCCAUGAACAAACCACCCAGAGUUUCAAGGACCUCACCGACACCGUUAUCGAAUUCCCCGGACGGAAAUCUCCUCUGAAGGCUAUACACAUGAUCGAACCGCUGCUCGACCGAGACGACCCUGCUUAUUGGGACUUCCUCUCCUUUUGCUCCGAUCUUCCCAAAUCCAAAGGAAUCAUCGUCAACACGUUCGAAGAGCUCGAGCCGCCAGCCGUCCUCCAUGCCAUUGCUGAAGGCCUGUGUGUUCCUGAUGGGCCAACUUCGCCUGUGUACUACGUUGGACCAUUGAUUGACGAAGAAAAAGUAUCGGGUAAUGAUGCAGCUGCGGCCGAGGAGGACUGCUUGUCAUGGCUCGAUAAGCAGCCAAGUCGAAGCGUGGUUUUUCUCUGUUUCGGAAGCAGGGGAUCACUCCCUGCAAUUCAACUGAAGGAGAUAGCGAAAGCGUUGGAGGCGAGCGGCAGAGGUUCCUGUGGGUGGUGAAGAAGCCGCCGGUUGAUGAGAAAACAAAGCAGGUCCUUGGAGUUGACGACUUUGAUUUGGAGGGUGUGUUGCCAGAAGGGUUCUUGGAGAGGACCAAAGACAGGGGGAUGGUAGUGAAGUCAUGGGCACCGCAGGCAGAGGUGUUGAAGAAGGAAUCGGUUGGUGGGUUCGUGACACAUUGCGGAUGGAACUCGGUGCUGGAAGCAGUGGUUGCGGGGGUGCCCAUGAUUGCUUGGCCGUUGUACGCGGAGCAGCAUUUGAACAGGAAUGUUAUGGCGACGGACAUGGAAAUAGCGAUUGCGGUUGAGCAGAGAGAUGAGGAAGAUGGGUUCGUGAGUGGGGAGGAAUUGGAGAGGAGAGUGAGGGAGUUGAUGGAGUCGGAAGAAGGGAGAGUGCUUAGAGAGAGGAGCAAGAAAAUUGGGGAGAUGGCUAUGGCUGCUUUGGGAGAGAAUGGUUCGUCCACCAGAAACUUGGUUAACUUUGUUAAUAGCUUAACAUAAUUAUGCAAGUUCUGGAUUUUCAUUUGCAUUUGGAUUUUGGUGAAAAAUAAAAUAAGAAAAAUUGUAUCUGUUUGAUGACAAUUGUAUUGUCUUCCCAUCACCAUUUUUUUUUUUUAUAAUAAACUCCUCGUUCUUUAUAUUACCAGACAACUAUAGUUUGAAA